UACAGAGGUCCCAAGCGUUGUUCGGAUUUACUGGGCGUAAAGGGCGCGUAGGCGGUCUUGUAAGUCUUGUGUGAAAUCCCUCGGCUCAACUGAGGAACUGCACGGGAUACUGCGAGACUUGAGUUCGGGAGAGGGAAGCGGAAUUCCGGGUGUAGCGGUGAAAUGCGUAGAUAUCCGGAGGAACACCGGUGGCGAAGGCGGCUUCCUGGACCGAUUACUGACGCUGAGGCGCGAAAGCUAGGGGAGCAAACGGG
rnacentral:rRNA from 1 species